ACGAACCUUGAGGACAAGGUUCUUUGGAGGGUGGAGUAUUGAUAAGAUCAUAACCAAGAUUAAACCGGAGAAGAAUUGGUACAGGUCUCAUAGUGAAAAGAAGAAUUACGAUCAUGCGUUCCUAAGUUUUAGGGGAUUGAUCUCCACAUUCCCAUUUCUCCAUGUUUCCUAGUUUGUAGGAUUUGUGAACGGUCCUUUGCUUUCUUUUGUGUAUUUAAAGACUUCUAAGUCAUGGUAAUGAGGUAGACUUGAAAAUUGAUAAAAACAGUUCUUGUGUUCUUGAGUUACAAUUCUCCUUGGCUUUGAGGAGGGACCAACGUAACA
rnacentral:lncRNA from 1 species